AGCAUGUGGUUUAAUUCGACGCAACGCGAAGAACCUUACCUGGGCUUGACAUCUGGGGAAUCUCAUGGAAACAUGGGAGUGCGGAGCAAUCUGAACCCCAAGACAGGUGCUGCAUGGCUGUCGUCAGCUCGUGUCGUGAGAUGUUGGGUUAAGUCCCGCAACGAGCGCAACCCUUGUCUCUAGUUGCCACCAUUCAGUUGGGCACUCUAGAGAGACUGCCGGUGAUAAACCGGAGGAAGGUGGGGCGACGUCAAGUCCUCAUGGCCUUUAUGCCCAGGGCUACACACGUGCUACAAUGGCUGGUACAAAGAGACGCAAGACCGCGAGGUGGAGCAAAUCUCAAAAACCAGUCCCAGUUCGGGUUGCAGGCUGCAACUCGCCUGCAUGAAGUCGGAGUUGCUAGUAAUCGCAGAUCAGAAUGCUGCGGUGAAUGCGUUCCCGGGUCUU
rnacentral:rRNA from 1 species